GGGCGAAAGCCUGACGCAGCAACGCCGCGUGACCGAUGAAGCUUCUAGGAGUGUAAAGGUCUGUCGUGAGGGAAGAAAAAUCCGGAUGUAAAUACUGUUCGGACGUGACGGUACCUCACAAGAAAGCACCGGCUAACUUAGUGCCAGCAGCCGCGGUAAUACUAGGGGUGCUAGCGUUGUCCGGAAUCACUGGGCGUAAAGGGUCCGUAGGCGUUUUGCUAAGUUGAUUGUUAAAUCCCUCGGCUCAACCGAUGAUCUGCAAUCAAAACUGGUAGAAUAGAGUUCGAGAGAGGAAAGUGGAAUUCCUGGUGUAGCGGUGACAUGCGUAGAUAUCAGGAGGAACACCAAUGGCGAAGGCAGCUUUCUGGCUCAAUACUGACGCUGAGGGACGAAAGCGUGGGGAGCGAACAGGAUUAGAUACCCUGGUAGUCCACGCCGUAAACGAUGAGUACUUGAUGAUGGAGGAUUCGACCCCUUCGUUGUCGUAGCUAACGCGAUAAGUACUCCGCCUGGGGACUACGACCGCAAGGUUG
rnacentral:rRNA from 1 species